rnacentral:rRNA from 1 species
CCUACGGGCGGCAGCAGUGGGGAAUAUUGGACAAUGGGCGAAAGCCUGAUCCAGCCAUGCCGCGUGUGUGAAGAAGGCCUUCGGGUUGUAAAGCACUUUCAGUGGGGAAGAAAGCCUUGGGGCUAAUACCCUCGAGGAAGGACAUCACCCACAGAAGAAGCACCGGCUAACUCCGUGCCAGCAGCCGCGGUAAUACGGAGGGUGCGAGCGUUAAUCGGAAUUACUGGGCGUAAAGCGCGCGUAGGCGGUCUGAUAAGCCGGUUGUGAAAGCCCCGGGCUCAACCUGGGAACGGCAUCCGGUACUGUCAGGCUAGAGUGCAGGAGAGGAAGGUAGAAUUCCCGGUGUAGCGGUGAAAUGCGUAGAGAUCGGGAGGAAUACCAGUGGCGAAGGCGGCCUUCUGGACUGACACUGACGCUGAGGUGCGAAAGCGUGGGUAGCAAACAGGAUUAGAUACCCUGGUAGUC